AUUCGCAGAGCAGUUGCCUUAUGUUUUUCUUAUUGAGAUUGCUAUAUGCAUGUCGAUUUCUCAUGCUAUGCGUUGAUCUUUGCAUACUGGAACAAUUGUUGAUGUUUGGAUUGCUCGGUAUUCAUGUCAAUCUAUAUAAGUCAAAAAUUGAUAUUUGAUUCCGGAUCUUUUGUUGCAUUUUCAAUUUGAGAAUUACUGCUGAGGCAUUCUUGGUCUAUGUAGUCCUUUGCGAGCUUAUGCUUAAGCUCCAUAUACUUUACCUUAUGCAAGUUCUAAUGAUGCUGUUUGUGCUUACUUAUGUCAAACAUUGAAUUUCCUUCUUCUCCGUCGGAGUUUGCAUAUACAUAUUUGACCUGUGCAUUCUGCCACAUAUGUUCCUUGGCCUGUGAUCUAAUUGGUGAGGCGUUUGGUCGAUUGACGGUUAUUGCCCAGGCAUUAGUUA
rnacentral:misc_RNA from 1 species